rnacentral:rRNA from 1 species
AGUGAACGCUGGCGGUAGGCCUAACACAUGCAAGUCGAACGGCAGCACAGUAAGAGCUUGCUCUUACGGGUGGCGAGUGGCGGACGGGUGAGGAAUACAUCGGAAUCUACUUUUUCGUGGGGGAUAACGUAGGGAAACUUACGCUAAUACCGCAUACGACCUACGGGUGAAAGCAGGGGAUCUUCGGACCUUGCGCGAUUGAAUGAGCCGAUGUCGGAUUAGCUAGUUGGCGGGGUAAGGGCCCACCAAGGCGACGAUCCGUAGCUGGUCUGAGAGGAUGAUCAGCCACACUGGAACUGAGACACGGUCCAGACUCCUACGGGGGGCAGCAGUGGGGAAUAUUGGACAAUGGGCGCAAGCCUGAUCCAGCCAUACCGCGUGGGUGAAGAAGGCCUUCGGGUUGUAAAGCCCUUUUGUUGGGAAAGAAAAGCAGCAGGUUAAUACCCCGCUGUUCUGACGGUACCCAAAGAAUAAGCACCGGCUAACUUCGUG